GGCCGAGGAACGGGCGGCGCGGCCAGAUGCUCCCGGCAAGCGCGGGCUGUGGCCCUGGGGGGCUGAGAGCCGCGCAGUUUCCGUGCGGGGAGCGAAGCCGCAGGCCGGCCUCCUCUCUGGCCACCGCACCCUGCACGGAUGUCUUGGCUUUCUUGCUCUGGGGGAAGUGGGCUGCCAUGUUGUGAGGAUAUUCAAGCAGCUUUACGGAGAGGUCCAAGCCAGGACCUCCUACCAACUGCCAGCACCAACUUGCCAGGCUUCUCUGUGAGCCAUCUUGGAAGCAGAUCCUCCAGCCCUGGUCAAGCCUUCAGAGGACCACAGCCCCAGCUGACCUCUUGACUGCAAGCUCAUGAGAGACCCCUGACCAGAGCCAGCCAGACUUGUCCCUCAUGAUUAUAAAGUGGCUGCAACAGCUCCAGGCAUUCAACAACAAGACCCAAAAUUCAGAAGGAAAGAAGGAAAGGGGCAUUUUGAAGAGUGAAAAAAAUGUUCCCGGAAACCCUAGACCUCCCCCUCGUGCCUCGUUGGCCAGAACUGCAUCACACGGCUUUGUGAACCAGUCGUUAGCAACGUGAGUGGAACUGACAUGACUGGAUGACCGACACCAGGAAGAUUUCCCGCCUCUUUUGAAGAUCCUGACUACCCAUGGCAAUUGGUACCAAUAGAAUCAGUGGGGAGCAGGCAUCCAGAAGCGUCUGCACUGUAACUUUUGUCAGAGCUUCUCAUUCUAUAUAUUUUUGCCUCUUUACCUGACAGGAUACCUAGCCGUCUUGCCCAAAACAAAUCUUGCUUUCUGGUUUCUGUACAGUAGAUAAAUGAACUCUGCAAAUGUCACACACAUACCAGUCACUGUUGAGGUGUCCAACUGAAGGAUCUCCAGCCUGACAAAGUGGAGCAUUUUGUGCUCUGACAGUCCAGCAUCUUAUAUCAGGCUCCAUACCACCUUCUGCCAAGAAUGAGCCAUCAGAUCUUCUUGCUUCGGCUACGCUACCAGUUCACUGGAAUCAGUGGUGUACCAAGGUCAGGGUGGUGGGAGCAGCCAGCCCUGGGGGCAGGCACAAAGGGGUUGCAUGAUCUAUAAAGAAUUUUAAAACAAUGAUAAACCUCUAAAGGCAAUGUGGUGUCCUGGGUUGAACCCUGGAACAGAAAAAGGACGUUAGUGAAAACAUCGCUGAAAUCCAAACAAAGUCUGUAGUUUGGUUAAUAGUACUGUACCAGUGUUAAUUUCUGUGUUUUGAAAAAAUGUGCCAUGGUUAUAUAAGCUGGGUGAAAGGUUUGUGAGGACUGUCUGUAAUACUUUCGCAACUCUCCUGUAAGUCUAAAACUGUUUCAAAAUUUACAAAAAAAUUUUUAAUGACAAACAUGAUUAAAAA